rnacentral:lncRNA from 1 species
AGAACAACCCGCUCCUUUCAUUCACAUACUAGGGUUUCCAAGAUUCAGCUUCUUCUCCAAGCUUCCUCUCUCAAUCUCAAACGUCUGAUAAGCUCCGACUCAAAUGGCUUUUUGAAGGAAUUUGUAAAAGCCUCUUCAAGUUUCGUCACUAAUUCGAUCCUUCACUCGCGAUCUAGGGUUUUGCUCCAAAAACCCCUUUCUCUCAUCCAAUCCAUCUACUUAUUCUUCUUCAAUCAACAGGUGACUGAUUGUUGGUUCGUAUGUGACGUGGAGAUGCCUGUGGAUGUGAGACGAACGAUGCUAAAGGCAACAGAGAAGGUAAUGAAGAAAAAGAGUAAAAAGGGGGAAGAUGAAUUAUUGCAAGGACUGUGGAGCUUUGUUUAGAAACCCACGCACCAGAAGAAGCAUAUGAAAAGCUAUUCAUUGCAAUUUCAUCUAAAUAUAAGGAUCCAGAAUUGGAUCAGAGAUCAAGUUGCUCGGGUUAUCUGAACAAUUUAGGGAGAAAUUUUUUGAACAUGUUAUACUUAUUGAAUCUUGAUAUGGGUUAAUGAGGGAAUGUAAAUGACUACAGAGUUUGAUGGUGGUACGAAUUUGUUCCUUUUGACAAAAAUGUGGUAUGUCCUCAUUCUUUCGUUGUUUUUUGGCCUUUUUAGUCACUUUUGUAUUUGAUGUUACUGAAGUUUUUCUACCUGGGGCGAGUAGGGUGGUGGGUCAAAACGGGUCAGUUAAAAAUGGCUGUUUUGUUUCAGGUUGAAACGGACCCGGGUCAGAACAGGUUUCGGGUUGGGCUGUUUAAAAGAUGUUAAAAAAAGAGAUUACACAGUUAACUACCCAAAAGAAACUAGAAAAACACAGCCUAACUAAAAUAAGAUCACUGGAUGUCGAAGCACCUCCACCAGCCCACAAAAAGAGAAACAACUAAUAAAUAAUGUGACUAAAACAAACAAGGUCCAGUAAGUAUGUAACCAAAGCCAAUACACUAAAACCACAACUAAACCGUUCCACUUUAAAUAGUCUUAACAACUCUACCACAAUUAGCUAACUAGGCCCUUUCAAAAUAAGUGAAUAUAUACCCACCAUAAGCAAACUAAAACCAAUAUGUAAAUUGUACUAUUGGAAGCCAAUGCACUGAAACACUCUUUAUGCCUCCUAUCUUU